rnacentral:rRNA from 1 species
GGGUUGUGAGGUUAAGCGACUAAGCGUACACGGUGGAUGCCCUGGCAGUCAGAGGCGAUGAAGGACGUGCUAAUCUGCGAUAAGCGUCGGUAAGGUGAUAUGAACCGUUAUAACCGGCGAUUUCCGAAUGGGGAAACCCAGUGUGUUUCGACACACUAUCAUUAACUGAAUCCAUAGGUUAAUGAGGCGAACCGGGGGAACUGAAACAUCUAAGUACCCCGAGGAAAAGAAAUCAACCGAGAUUCCCCCAGUAGCGGCGAGCGAACGGGGAGCAGCCCAGAGCCUGAAUCAGUGUGUGUGUUAGUGGAAGCGUCUGGAAAGGCGCGCGAUACAGGGUGACAGCCCCGUACACAAAAAUGCACAUACUGUGAGCUCGAUGAGUAGGGCGGGACACGUGGUAUCCUGUCUGAAUAUGGGGGGACCAUCCUCCAAGGCUAAAUACUCCUGACUGACCGAUAGUGAACCAGUACCGUGAGGGAAAGGCGAAAAGAACCCCGGCGAGGGGAGUGAAAAAAGAACCUGAAACCGUGUACGUACAAGCAGUGGGAGCACGCUUAGGCGUGUGACUGCGUACCUUUUGUAUAAUGGGUCAGCGACUUAUAUUCUGUAGCAAGGUUAACCGAAUAGGGGAGCCGAAGGGAAACCGAGUCUUAACUGGGCGUUAAGUUGCAGGGUAUAGACCCGAAACCCGGUGAUCUAGCCAUGGGCAGGUUGAAGGUUGGGUAACACUAACUGGAGGACCGAACCGACUAAUGGUGAAAAAAUUAGCGGAUGACUUGUGGCUGGGGGGAAAAGGCCAAUCAAACCGGGAGAUAGCUGGUUCUCCCCGAAAGCUAUUUAGGUAGCGCCUCGUGAAUUCAUCUCCGGGGGUAGAGCACUGUUUCGGCAAGGGGGUCAUCCCGACUUACCAACCCGAUGCAAACUGCGAAUACCGGAGAAUGUUAUCACGGGAGACACACGGCGGGUGCUAACGUCCGUCGUGAAGAGGGAAACAACCCAGACCGCCAGCUAAGGUCCCAAAGUCAUGGUUAAGUGGGAAACGAUGUGGGAAGGCCCAGACAGCCAGGAUGUUGGCUUAGAAGCAGCCAUCAUUUAAAGAAAGCGUAAUAGCUCACUGGUCGAGUCGGCCUGCGCGGAAGAUGUAACGGGGCUAAACCAUGCACCGAAGCUGCGGCAGCGACGCUUAUGCGUUGUUGGGUAGGGGAGCGUUCUGUAAGCCUGUGAAGGUGUGCUGUGAGGCAUGCUGGAGGUAUCAGAAGUGCGAAUGCUGACAUAAGUAACGAUAAAGCGGGUGAAAAGCCCGCUCGCCGCCAGACCAAGGGUUCCUGUCCAACGUUAAUCGGGGCAGGGUGAGUCGACCCCUAAGGCGAGGCCGAAAGGCGUAGUCGAUGGGAAACAGGUUAAUAUUCCUGUACUUGGUGUUACUGCGAAGGGGGGACGGAGAAGGCUAUGUUGGCCGGGCGACGGUUGUCCCGGUUUAAGCGUGUAGGCUGGUUUUCCAGGCAAAUCCGGAAAAUCAAGGCUGAGGCGUGAUGACGAGGCACUACGGUGCUGAAGCAACAAAUGCCCUGCUUCCAGGAAAAGCCUCUAAGCAUCAGGUAACAUCAAAUCGUACCCCAAACCGACACAGGUGGUCAGGUAGAGAAUACCAAGGCGCUUGAGAGAACUCGGGUGAAGGAACUAGGCAAAAUGGUGCCGUAACUUCGGGAGAAGGCACGCUGAUAUGUAGGUGAAGUCCCUCGCGGAUGGAGCUGAAAUCAGUCGAAGAUACCAGCUGGCUGCAACUGUUUAUUAAAAACACAGCACUGUGCAAACACGAAAGUGGACGUAUACGGUGUGACGCCUGCCCGGUGCCGGAAGGUUAAUUGAUGGGGUCAGCGCAAGCGAAGCUCUUGAUCGAAGCCCCGGUAAACGGCGGCCGUAACUAUAACGGUCCUAAGGUAGCGAAAUUCCUUGUCGGGUAAGUUCCGACCUGCACGAAUGGCGUAAUGAUGGCCAGGCUGUCUCCACCCGAGACUCAGUGAAAUUGAACUCGCUGUGAAGAUGCAGUGUACCCGCGGCAAGACGGAAAGACCCCGUGAACCUUUACUAUAGCUUGACACUGAACAUUGAGCCUUGAUGUGUAGGAUAGGUGGGAGGCUUAGAAGUGUGGACGCCAGUCUGCAUGGAGCCGACCUUGAAAUACCACCCUUUAAUGUUUGAUGUUCUAACGUUGACCCGUAAUCCGGGUUGCGGACAGUGUCUGGUGGGUAGUUUGACUGGGGCGGUCUCCUCCUAAAGAGUAACGGAGGAGCACGAAGGUUGGCUAAUCCUGGUGGGACAUCAGGAGGUUAGUGCAAUGGCAUAAGCCAGCUUGACUGCGAGCGUGACGGCGCGAGCAGGUGCGAAAGCAGGUCAUAGUGAUCCGGUGGUUCUGAAUGGAAGGGCCAUCGCUCAACGGAUAAAAGGUACUCCGGGGAUAACAGGCUGAUACCGCCCAAGAGUUCAUAUCGACGGCGGUGUUUGGCACCUCGAUGUCGGCUCAUCACAUCCUGGGGCUGAAGUAGGUCCCAAGGGUAUGGCUGUUCGCCAUUUAAAGUGGUACGCGAGCUGGGUUUAGAACGUCGUGAGACAGUUCGGUCCCUAUCUGCCGUGGGCGCUGGAGAACUGAGGGGGGCUGCUCCUAGUACGAGAGGACCGGAGUGGACGCAUCACUGGUGUUCGGGUUGUCAUGCCAAUGGCACUGCCCGGUAGCUAAAUGCGGAAGAGAUAAGUGCUGAAAGCAUCUAAGCACGAAACUUGCCCCGAGAUGAGUUCUCCCUGACCCUUUAAGGGUCCUGAAGGAACGUUGAAGACGACGACGUUGAUAGGCCGGGUGUGUAAGCGCAGCGAUGCGUUGAGCUAACCGGUACUAAUGAACCGUGAGGCUUAACCUUACAACGCCGAAGGUGUUU